CGGUGAAGCACCUGUUCCCGUACGAUUACCGAAGGUAAGCAAGAUAGAGCCUGUUCAGUACCUAAAUGAGUGACCGAUUGGGAAAACCAGGUGGUGGA